GGGGAUGUGGUUUAGUGGUAUAAUACCUCUUUAGCAACUGAGCAUUGUAAGAUGUUCUACUUGGAUAGAGGUGGUCCGGGGUUCGAUUCCCCGCGUCUCCA